rnacentral:misc_RNA from 1 species
GAUGAAGAACGUAGCAAAAUGCGAUAAGUAAUGUGAAUUGCAGAAUUCAGUGAAUCAUCGAAUCUUUGAACGCACAUUGCGCCCGCUGGUAUUCCGGCGGGCAUGCCUGUUCGAGCGUCAUUACAACCCUCAGGCCCCCGGGCCUGGCGUUGGGGAUCGGCGGAAGCCCCCUGCGGGCACAACGCCGUCCCCCAAAUACAGUGGCGGUCCCGCCGCAGCUUCCAUUGCGUAGUAGCUAACACCUCGCAACUGGAGAGCGGCGCGGCCACGCCGUAAAACACCCAACUUCUGAAUGUUGACCUCGAAUCAGGUAGGAAUACCCGCUGAACUUAAGCAUAUCAAUAAGCGGAGGA